rnacentral:misc_RNA from 1 species
UAAUAAGUGUUUUAUGGCACUUUUUAAAUCCAUAUCCACCUUGUGUGCAAUGUCGGUCGAUCUUCUUUUGUUGAGGAUCGACCAAACAUCAACCUUUAUUUUUUAACUCUUUGUCUGAAAAAUAUUAUGAAUAAACAAUUCAAAAUA